CAGGGUGGAGCUCUGCCCCAGGCGUCCUGGAUUUGUGAAAACUCAUUAAGCUGUAACAGUUAAGGUCUUGGAGAAAGGUCCAUGGCUCCGUGGCUCCUGAAUCUCUGGACACUUGGCCAGUCUCCAGUUGUACGAGGCAGUCCAACCAGCACCCAAGUGCUCAAAGGCAGAGCCAGAAGUGAUGCAAUGACAUGGAGAUACCUGAGAUAAGGAACCUGAGGUCCAAGGAUUCUGCGACUUGCCUGGCAUCACACAGCUCAACUGGAGACCAAGUUCUGAGCUUUUGUCUUUCCCUGGCAUCCCCCACGGAAGGUCCCAUCUUCUUUCCUGUACAACAAUGGUUCUCAACUAAGGGCGACGUUGCCUUCCAGGAGACAUCUGGCAGUGUCUGGAGGUGUUUUUGGUUGUCACAAU